ACGGCUCGGGGUGAAACAAGGAGAGCUGUAACACGGCAGAACGUGAUCCCGGACGCCAUAAUGAAGCCAAGAACGACGAGACUCAACUAUACGACAGUCAAAUAAGAACAACGCAGAGCAGCUGGUGUUCGAACUGUCCACGAGAGUGCUGUCCAUCGGUCAUUCCUGUGGAGUUUCUCGAGGGAAUAUGAGCGACGGCACUGUACAGGCGCUCAGCGGAAGCACUUGAAGGAACUUUGUUGGCAGUCAGCAGAGAAGACACCGGUGCAAAGCUAAUGAUUUGGUUAUUUCGGGCUCCAAAUGAACGCCGUCAACCAGUAGCUAUAUAUGUGUAAUCGAUAUAGAAUCAAAAAUAUAUCCAAGCAACACCAAGUGUUGGUGGAACGUAGGA